GCCUCUGUGGUGUAGUGGUAGCACGCGUUCCCCGUAUGGGUGAGACGCUGGUUCGACUCGCAUCUGAAGUCG